GGACCCGCACAAGCGGUGGAGCAUGUGGUUUAAUUCGAUGCAACGCGAAAAACCUUACCUAUACUUGACAUACUUGGAAUGCUUUGUAAUGAAGCAGUGCCUUCGGGAGCCAGGAUACAGGUGCUGCAUGGCUGUCGUCAGCUCGUGUCGUGAGAUGUUCCGUUAAGUCGGAUAACGAGCGCAACCCUUACCCUUAUUUGCCAGCGAUUCGGUCGGGAACUAUAAGGGGACUGCCGGUGAUAAACCGGAGGAAGGUGAGGACGACGUCAAGUCAUCAUGGCCCUUACGUAUAGGGCUACACACGUGCUACAAUGGGGAAUACAGACGGACGCUAAGCCGCGAGGUGGUGCUAAUCCUAGAAAAUUCUUCGUAGUCCGGAUUGGAGUCUGCAACUCGACUCCAUG
rnacentral:rRNA from 1 species